ensembl:lncRNA
GACGCCGCCGCCGCCGCAAGGGACGCCGCCGCCGCCGCAAGGGACGCCGCCGCCGCCGCAAGGGACGCCGCCGCCGCCACAAGGGACGCCGCCGCCGCCGGGCGCAAGGGACGCCGCCGCCGCCGCAGCGCGAGACGAGGCCGCAGCACGAGACCGGGACGUGACAGUGCCGUCGGCCUACGCGGACGUGGGGACGGGCCGGCCCUGCAUGCUGGCGACAUGUUGGGCAAAGGAAGCGUCUGGGUGCCCAACCGUACCUGCGAGGGUGAUGUCCAAACAGACGCAGGCCAUAGUGGACACUGGCAGCAUGGUCACCCUCCUCCGGCCCGACCUGGCGGGGGGAAGGGAAGGGUCACCAAUGGAGGUGACAUGCGUACACGGGGACACACGAACAUACAAGACCUGCCACGUGGUCGUCCGGACACCACAGGGGGUUUUCACAGCUAGGGCAGGGGUCGUGCCACACCUCCCGGUGCCGAUCCUAAUUGGGAGGGACUGCCCGAUUCUCCGUCGGCUUUGGGACCCUGCGCUGGAGUCCCGGGUCCGAAGAGAUGCGGUCGCCGCCGCGGCAGGAGGUGCAGCGGUCGCCGCCGCGGCAGGAGGUGCAGCCGCCGCCGGCGCGACAGGGGGUGCAGCCGCCGCCGGCGCGGCAGGAGGUGCGGCCGCCGCCGGCGCGGCAAGAGAUGCCGCCGGCGCGGCAAGAGAUGCGGCCGGCGCCGCUGCGAGAGGUGCGGCCGGCACCGCCGCCGCCGCUACCGCGAGGGACGCAGCCGGCGCCGCAGGAGACACCCGGCCCCGGCGAGAUACCAUCCUGGGCGGGUCCCUCGGCUACCUGGGGCUUGGACAAAGGGUGGAGGAGUGUGGCAUCCCGCCACGUGGUCCUCGGCCUGGACGGGCCCGGGGUACCGUGGAGGACGGGGUUUACCACCCCCACCCACCAGCCGGCGAUAGAGAGCAGCCCUUUCGGCACCCCAAUCAGGGUGAUUGGGGGACACCUGGCCGAAAGCACUGGAGCCAUUUUAAAAGGAGGCACAGCACAGCACAGCAGGGCUCGGGAGACCAGGAACAAGGACGUAGUAAGCGCUCUGGUCCACGAGCGGCUAGAGGCUCACGGAGACCCUAGAGACCGCGUCUGCAUUGUCGGAUUUAAGUUGCCUGCAAUAAAUGCCUGCCAUGGCUAAUAAUCCUACGCAAAGUGUCGUUUGUCCGUGGAACCCGGCUCAUUUGGGUAGCGGGUUGCCACAAUGUGAACUUUACCUGUUCACCGUGGGAUAGUGAGAAAAGUCUUCUCAAUUGCUUUGUAUGUCUACAUGUGAAGUAGUUGACAUUAAAGCUGACUUUGACUUUGAUUUUUAGAGAACCCUUCAUAGGAAG